rnacentral:lncRNA from 1 species
UAACAUGGUACUGUAGGUAAUGAAGUACUCGCGCUUAGAGCUCGUUUGGUUAGUGGAAAAAGAAGGGGAGAAAUUGUGGUCAAUAGGAAAGUAAAAAAGAUGCAUCUUAUUUGGUUGGAGUUUUUAAAGAAGAGAGAUAAGAAAGUUGUAUUUCCAUAGAAAUAUAAUUUCCACAUUUAAUGAGAAAGUCUUUUCCAUGAGAAACAUGAAAAAGUUACUUUUCCGUGAGCCGGAAAUUGAAACAUUUUUAUUUUUUUCUAAAAAGGCCCUUCAGCUAUCCUUAUUUGAUCCAAAGCAUUAAAAACCUAAUUUUUAUUAAGGGUAUCAUAGGAAUUACACAUAACUUUUUCAAAAAAGUGGAUGGUCAACCAAACAUAAGCACUCUAGAAAUCUGUCACUUUUCCAUGAUCAACCAAAUAUGCCCAAAGUACUUUUUCAGAUGCCCUCUUUUUAUAAAUCUGCUUUUUAUGAAUCAUAUUUCUAUGAGAGAAAAUUUUUCUCGCGAACCAAACGGCCCCUAAUCUUAAGGGUACAAGGGAGCGGCCGCAAAACCAUGGAUUAUGGAGCGCGAGGGAGUAGCUGCCAACUCGUUCCCUCAACUUAAAAUACAAUAUAUAAAUGCAUAUAAGUGUUAAGUGUUAACAAAUAUAAUUGAUAAAAUUAUUAAAAAAACUGGAUAGGUCCUGCAAUCAUUAGAAAUUGGAUAAAUCCUGCCCUUGGCCAAGCUUUCUUCCAUUCUAUUUGUCAAAUAAACACAAAUGCAAUUUUUUUGAUAAAACAAAUACAAAUUUUACACUAACUAGGCCAAUCAUGAACACCUGCCUCCAAUCAUUUUAGUCCUAGAAAGAAAGCUAAUUUUAGCAAUAAAAAGUAAAACAGAAAAAAAAAAAAGAAAAUUCCUGCCUUUGCUUGCUAACUAACACAAAGAGGGGGAUGGUUAAUUAGGAUGGAAUGGUCUGAGGUCCUCUAAUGAGACGACUCCUACUAGCUGCAUCAGCGCAGAUCAUGUCAGCUGCAUCUAAAACCAUGCUGUUGGCAUUUUAUUUUUAAUAAUCAAUAUCUUGAGAGCUUGCCCAGUCUUCAUAGAUCAAAUUGAUAAUAAAUUUUAAUAUCUAGUUGAUUUAAGGUG